rnacentral:rRNA from 1 species
AUGGCGGUGCUUAUGUGCCAGUAUGAUGGGUUUAGCAAGGCGGAGUAUAUAGAGAUUGUGCAUAUGCCGAUCUGGCUCCAAAUCCAUAAACUGCCAGACCCCUAUUGCAAGCAUCACAUUGUGGAGAAGCUGCUGAAGGGUUCAGGUGAAAUCAUGGAGAUGCGUCUGAACGGAAACACAAGAGGAGAUUACGUGAGGGUGAGGGUGAAACACGAUAGCCGAAAGGCCCUCACUAAAUUCGUUAGUAUUGUUCGUGCUGGAGAGAGGCAAGUAUUCCUGGUUCGGUACGAGAAGCUGGCUAGAUUCUGCAAGGUAUGCGGAAUCGUUGGACAUGAGCAUGAGUGUGGGCUGGGGAUCCACGAGGAGAAGGCGUUGAAGUACGGGGAUUGGUUAUACGCUGACAAUCCGAGCCGGCCUCGUCAGGAU